CGGGGGUAUUGUGAUCCACUUCAGACGCAGACAACUACUGGGACCAGAAAGAAUAUGUUGGGACUCUGGCAGAAAGAUUUCUCUGAAAGGUACAGAGAUAAGAACUCGGAGAUCUGAGGCUUCUUCACCAGGAAUUUAGCAUCCAUCAAACCUAAAACCGAAAAGACGGGAAGAAGAGAGACGUGGAACAGAAUCAACUAAGCGGGACUCCCAGGGGUCUACAGAGGCUGAAGCAGCCACGGUGGAGCCUGCAUUGGUCUGCGCUAGGUUGUUUAACUUGGGGGUGUUUGUGGGACUCAACAGUAAGAGUGGGGGGGUCUCUGACUCUUUGCCUGCUUUUGGAACCCCUUUUCUUCUCCUGGGUUGCCUUGUGUCCAGCCUUGACUUCAGGGUUUGUGCCUAGUCUUACCGCAUCUUUGGGUUUCUGCUGUGUUCCGUUGGGAGGAAGCUGCUCUUCUCUGAAGGGAAAGGGAGGGGCAGUGGAUGGGAGGGGCGCGGGGUGGAGCUGAGAGGAACUGGGAGGAGGAGAGGGAGGGGAGGCCACAGGUAGGGAGGACUGUAAGAGAAAAGAAAAAAAGAGGAGCGUGGAAGAGAUUAGAAAAGUGUCACCUAGAGGCUUGUUACAACACAGAGAGACCUGUUCACAUCAAAGCCUCUUAACGCAGAAAACAUGGUCUAAAAAGUCAGCCCCGCCAGACAAGCUGACGUUUAUGUCUGCUGUUCUCCUAGCUUUUAUCUUUUACCAGUGUUUCCUUUUAGGCUCUGAUGGAACAUUAGCUUCAGCGACAUUUUGCUAAAUGGAUGAGCUUCAGUGAACUCUAUUAAAUCAGCUUCAUAACUCAGCCGCCUGGUCCUUUAUCAUUCUCCUGCUCUGGCCCGCACGGCUUCCCGCUUAUCUCCCUCCAGCUUGCUGUUAUCCACGGCUGAACACAGUGUCCUUGAUGGCGCAGGCUGGCUCCUAUCUCUCUUCAUUCCUUCCUCCUCGCUCCUCCCUUCCAAGGUCCUCCCUAGACUGUUUCAGACACUGUUUGGUGCUCCCAGACAACGCUCUCAGCCAAAUCUUAUUUACCCACAGGCUUGGUGAAUUUCCAGGAAGAGGGACUGAGGCCAGGGUACUCCUGGCCCAGGAAAUUGUCAAAAGUGUCAAAAGGAUGGGGAUGUUGGAGGAGCUGGAGGAAGUUGGUGUUAUCUCAGGGAAGGUCUGGUCUCCUGAGCCUGCUGAACCUGGAACUGACUUCCA
rnacentral:lncRNA from 1 species